UAGGGGGGAAAGCGGGGGAUCUUCGGNCCUCGCGCUAUCAGAUGAGCCUGCGUUGGAUUAGCUAGUUGGUAGGGUAAAGGCCUACCAAGGCGACGAUCCAUAGCUGGUCUGAGAGGACGAUCAGCCACACUGGGACUGAGACACGGCCCAGACUCCUACGGGAGGCAGCAGUGGGGAAUAUUGGACAAUGGGCGAAAGCCUGAUCCAGCAAUGCCGCGUGUGUGAAGAAGGCCUGAGGGUUGUAAAGCACUUUCAAUGGGAAGGAAAAAGCUUAGGUUAAUACCCUGAGCCUUGACAUUACCUGUAGC
rnacentral:rRNA from 1 species